GAUGAACGCUGGCGGCGUGCCUAAUACAUGCAAGUCGAGCGAACGGACGAGAAGCUUGCUUCUCUGAUGUUAGCGGCGGACGGGUGAGUAACACGUGGAUAACCUACCUAUAAGACUGGGAUAACUUCGGGAAACCGGAGCUAAUACCGGAUAAUAUUUUGAGCCGCAUGGUUCAAAAGUGAAAGACGGUCUUGCUGUCACUUAUAGAUGGAUCCGCGCUGCAUUAGCUAGUUGGUAAGGUAACGGCUUACCAAGGCAACGAUGCAUAGCCGACCUGAGAGGGUGAUCGGCCACACUGGAACUGAGACACGGUCCAGACUCCUACGGGAGGCAGCAGUAGGGAAUCUUCCGCAAUGGGCGAAAGCCUGACGGAGCAACGCCGCGUGAGUGAUGAAGGUCUUCGGAUCGUAAACCUCUGUUAUUAGGGAAGAACAUAUGUGUAAGUAACUGUGCACAUCUUGACGGUACCUAAUCAGAAAGCCACGGCUAACUACGUG
rnacentral:rRNA from 1 species